rnacentral:rRNA from 1 species
UACGUAGGUGGCAAGCGUUGUCCGGAAUUACUGGGUGUAAAGCGCGUGUAGGCGGGAGGCCAAGUCUGCUGUGAAAUCGCUCGGCUCAACUGGGCGGGGUCGGUGGAAACUGGUCACCUGGAGGACGGUAGAGGCGAGUGGAAUUCCCGGUGUAGUGGUGAAAUGCGUAGAGAUCGGGAGGAACACCAGUGGCGAAGGCGGCUCGCUGGGCCGGUCCUGACGCUGAGACGCGAAGGCGUGGGGAGCGAACAGG